GUUGGUGAACCAGCGGAGGGAUCAUUACGAGAAGCCGAAAGGCUACUUAAAACCAUCGCGAACCCGUCCAAGUUGCUUCGGCGGCGCGGGGCCCCUCACGGGGCGCCGCGGCCCGGCCUCUCCCGAGGUUGUGGGCGCCCGCCGGAGGUACGAAACUCUCAUGUAUUACAGCGGCAUCUCUGAGUACGAAGCAAAACAAGUUAAAACUUUCAACAACGGAUCUCUUGGCUCUG
rnacentral:misc_RNA from 1 species